GAAAAAACCACCUGGGGAGGUGGUUUUUCGAAGGUUCAGUAAGUUGGGGAACUUCUGAACCGUGGUAACAGGGUGUACAAGACCGCUGCCACCAAAUACGUCCUUUCAGUUUAGCCGUAGUUAGGCUUCAACUUCAAGAACUCUGCACCAGUAAUCUCUUGUACACCCCUUUACCAGUGGCUACCGCCAAUGGCGAUUUGACGUGUCUGUAAGGGUUGGACUCAAGACGAUAGUUACCUUACAUGGCGCGGUAGUCGGACUGAACGGGGGGUUCGUGCAUACAGUCCAGCUUGGAGCGAACUGCCUACCCGGAACUGAGUGUCAGGCGUGGAAUGAGACAAACGCGGCCAUAACAGCGGAAUGACACCGGUAAACCGAAUGGCAGGAACAGGAGAGCGCACGAGGGAGCGACCCAUCGGAAACGGUGGGGAUCUUUAAGUCCUGUCGGGUUUCGUCACCGCUGUCGGAUUCAUGGUUGAGCUCAGGCUCCCACAGAUGCACCGAAAAAGUG
rnacentral:misc_RNA from 2 species